AUUGAACGCUGGCGGCAGGCUUAACACAUGCAAGUCGAGCGGGGGAAGGUAGCUUGCUACCGGACCUAGCGGCGGACGGGUGAGUAAUGCUUAGGAAUCUGCCUAUUAGUGGGGGACGACAUCUCGAAAGGGAUGCUAAUACCGCAUACGUCCUACGGGAGAAAGCAGGGGAUCUUCGGACCUUGCGCUAAUAGAUGAGCCUAAGUCGGAUUAGCUAGUUGGUGGGGUAAAGGCCUACCAAGGCGACGAUCUGUAGCGGGUCUGAGAGGAUGUGGCGCCAAGAUGGGAAUGGGAAACGGCCCAGGCUGCGACGGGAGGCAGCAGUGGGGAAUUUUGGACAAUGGGGGGAACCCUGAUCCGGCCAUGCGGCGUGUGUGAAGAAGGCCUUAUGGUUGUAAAGCACUUUAAGCGAGGAGGAGGCUACUCUAGUUAAUACCUAGGGAUAGUGGACGUUACUCGCAGAAUAAGCACCGGCUAACUCUGUGCCAGCCGCCGCAGUAA
rnacentral:rRNA from 1 species